rnacentral:rRNA from 1 species
UUCGUAGGCGGUCAGAUCAGUCAGGGGUGAAAUCCAACGGCUCAACCGUUGAACUGCCUUUGAAACUGUCUGACUUGAGUUCGGGAGAGGAAAGUGGAAUUCUUGGUGUAGCGGUGAAAUGCGUGGAUAUCAAGAGGAACACCCGUGGCGAAAGCGGCUUUCUGGCCCGAUACUGACGCUGAGGAACGAAAGCCAGGGGAGCAAACAGGAUUAGAUACCCUGGUAGUCC